GCGAGGCGCGAGGCACAGGUCCGUGGCGUCCGCCGCCGGCCGCCCCCUCCCGGUCACGCGAGCCCGGUUCUCGGCGCCCCGGGCGGGGAGGUGGGUCGGAGGCCGAAGCGGCCCGGCGGGACACUCACCUACGGCGGUCCGCGCCGCAGAGACGAUGACCACGGGGUCCGAGCCUGCGUUCAUCCUGCGGCUCCGCUUCGGGCCAGCUGUCUCGUCCGCCAGGCGCCGUCUACGACUGAGCUCCAGUCUCCAAAUUUUGGCACAGCAACCUCCAAGACUGUGUCCUCCCCACUAAGAAACAUUUCUCAAGUGUCUACAUGUUCUAGAAGGGGACUUUUUCGGAGGUGGCCUCUUCUUCGGAAUAGUCCGACGGCAUCAGGCCUCUGAAGCAAGGGGAAGGGGAAGAGAAAAGCUGAAACACAAGGUUCAUCUGGUAAGUUUUACAUUAACCAUUACAAGCUGGACAGUAUA